AUCAAGAAGAGGUGGCUAAAGAAACUGAACACCACUUGUCGCAGAAAAUCAUAUCUCUUAAAGCUGAGAUUGAAAAUCUAUUAGCAGACAAGAAUAUCCUUCAUCAGCAUGCCGAACAGAAAAAUAUGCUAAUUGAGGAGUUGGAAAGUACUAGGAAAUCAAUUGAGAACAUGCAAUUGCUUGUCGAGCAAGGUCACAGUGAAAGAAGAGAACUAGAAACUAGGCUAGAUUUAGUGGAAAA
rnacentral:misc_RNA from 1 species